GAGCCAGCUCUGAAGAAUGAAGACCUACUUUUAUUUAUUCUCAGAACAGGCACAGCAUAAGCAAUGGCAGAGCAAGUUUCUAGCACUGGCCUGCCAAUGUACCUCAACCCUGAGUGGAGAGACCACCUCUAGACACACCUGGGUGAUUUUUGGGCUUACUGCUGAGACAGGCAUUU
ensembl:misc_RNA